GUACGAGCCGGCUUGCUGGCGAUCGGAUCGACGCGGUGUUUCAGAUUGACCGCGUUAUCGUUCAUCGCCAGCAAGCCGGCUCCUAC
rnacentral:misc_RNA from 1 species